GGGAGCGUGGCCGAGUGGUUAUGGCGCGUGACUCAAGUUCUGAUCUUUGUAUCAACUUACAGAAGACCUCAAAUCUUCUGGAUUUCUCGUAGGGAAACCUGCAGGGGUUCGAAUCCCCUCGCUCUCA